rnacentral:rRNA from 1 species
UACGUAGGCGGCGAGCGUUGUCCGGAUUUACUGGGCGUAAAGGGAGCGUAGGCGGACUUUUAAGUGAGAUGUGAAAUACCCGGGCUCAACUUGGGUGCUGCAUUUCAAACUGGAAGUCUAGAGUGCAGGAGAGGAGAAUGGAAUUCCUAGUGUAGCGGUGAAAUGCGUAGAGAUCGGGAGGAACACCAGUGGCGAAGGCGGGUAACUGGACUGCAACUGACGCUGAGGCGCGAAGGUGUGGGGAGCAAACAGGAUUAGAUACCCCGGUAGUCCCU